rnacentral:rRNA from 1 species
GCUCGGAAACUAGUGGCGAACGGCUGAGUAACGCGUAGGUGACCUACCCCGUAGUGAGGAAUAACUGCCCGAAAGGGUAGCUAAUACCUCAUGUUGAGACGCUUUCAUUAGCGUCUCCAAAGCAGCAAUGCGCUAUGGGCGGGGCCUGCGUUCGAUUAGCUAGUUGGUGAGGUAAUGGCUUACCAAGGCAACGAUCAAUAGCUGAUUUGAGAGGAUGAUCAGCCACACUGGGACUGAGACACGGCCCAGACUCC